GGAAAGUCUCUGGUGAAAUCCUGCGGCUUAACUGUAGGGCUUGCCGGANAAACUCUCGGACUAGAGGAUGGGAGAGGUCGGAGGUACUUCUGGGGUAGGGGUGAAAUCCUAUAAUCCUAGAAGGACCAACAGUGGCNAAGGCGUCCGACAUGAACNUGCCUGACAGUGAGGGACNAGAGCCAGGGUCGCNAAACGGAUUAGAUNCCCGUGUAGUCCUGGCCGUAAACAAUGUUGACUAGGUGGGGCGCGUNCUUCGAGUACGUGCUAUGCCGAAGGGAANCCGUUAANUCAACCGCCUGGGGANUACGUCCGCAAGGAUGAAACUUAAAGGAAUUGGCGGGG
rnacentral:rRNA from 1 species